AUUGAACGCUGGCGGCAGGCCUAACACAUGCAAGUCGAGCGGAUGAAGGGAGCUUGCUCCUGGAUUCAGCGGCGGACGGGUGAGUAAUGCCUAGGAAUCUGCCUGGUAGUGGGGGAUAACGUCCGGAAACGGGCGCUAAUACCGCAUACGUCCUGAGGGAGAAAGUGGGGGAUCUUCGGACCUCACGCCAUCAGAUGCGCCUAGGUCGGAUUAGCUAGUUGGUGGGGUAAAGGCCUACCAAGGCGACGAUCCGUAACUGGUCUGAGAGGAUGAUCAGUCACACUGGAACUGAGACACGGUCCAGACUCCUACGGGAGGCAGCAGUGGGGAAUAUUGGACAAUGGGCGAAAGCCUGAUCCAGCCAUGCCGCGUGUGUGAAGAAGGUCUUCGGAUUGUAAAGCACUUUAAGUUGGGAGGAAGGGCAGCAAGUUAAUACCUUGCUGUUUUGACGUUACCAACAGAAUAAGCACCGGCUAACUUCGUG
rnacentral:rRNA from 1 species